AACUAAGACUUAGCUAGUUUUCGUGUUUCCUAGCUAUGUAUAUUUUAAUCACAUGCUUAAACUGCAAAAUCAAGAUAUAUAUUUCCAGGGCCUUAGUGCCCUGGCUGAUUGUUUUGUUGCACUGGCAGAUCAGGCACCCCCUUAAGGCAUUGUCCCUAAAAUUCCUUCCCUGGUAUGUUAUGCUCUUCAAACAGGUUGCCCUGGAGUUCAUGGGACUGACUGGUGUCUGUGGACCUCAAGAAGACAUUUUAUGAAGGCCUGGACAGUCUUGACAAAGACAGUUCCAAUCAAAGGAAGAGAAACGCUGUGCUCCGAGGCUUGCCAUACUUCCUGCGAGAAGACCCUACCAAUUUUUUGAAGACUUGAGAAGACAACUGAUUCAGAGGAAGGCACCCGCGGAGUGAAAGUUGUUGUGGAUGGAGCUGAAGCAGGUGACCCAAUGCCAGCUUACAAUGUGGAUAUUGCCCUUGUGAUGGAAGAGCAGGUGAUCAUCGUACAUGAGCUUCACAAUGUCCCAAAUGCCUUUGCCACUUUGAUUGGACUUCUUUAAUGUCUGAAUAUGGAUUACUCAAAAAUGUUUGAGGUCUACUUUUGAGGUAGUUCAGAAAAUAUUCUUGAAGAUUGGUGCAGAAAACUACAGCAAAGGUCCAUAGGCUGAACCGUCUUCUUCGUUAAGACAACUAAUUUGUGUGUUUUUGUUUUACUCGCAGUAGUUGAGUUCAUUCCUCGGACAAUGAUGCUGUUAUUUGCCUAAAUCUUAGAAAUCUCAGUUUUGGGAAGACUUAAGUUACCCUAUUUUUAUGUGUGACCUUCAGUCUACAAACUGAAGGUCAAAAAGUGCAUUCUGAAAAUGUUUACAGCAUGUUAGAAUUUUUCACACUCAACACCAACUUGUCAUAUAAACUGUUCUGAAGGUUGUCA